UGCUUCAAAAAUUUCAUGGAAAAUAUAAUUAAAAGGUAAGUCUUAGAGUCUUAGUUUGGUGCAAAAUUUUACAAAAUACAAUUAUUUCAUAAUCUGCACUUUGCAUGAACUCUUUGAAGGAGGUGUGUGUGUGUGUGUGUGUGUCUGUGUAUUUAUACAGGUAGAUGGAUAUUUACUAUUUCAAGCCUCAUUCUCUCUCUCCCUCUCUAUUUCAUGUAUUCUCUUGUUUUCUUUCUCCUCACUCUGGUCUGUGCAGCUGUCAGUCUGUUUCACUUUCUUUGUGUGUCUGCCAGUGGGAAGGUCUUGUCUCUCUGGGCGGUCUCUCCGUGGGAAUCGGUGUAGGAUGGCUGUCUGCCCCUCUUUCUUCCUCCCUCCGUCUCCCUCGUUUCCGUUCUCCUGCCUUCUGUUCUGGCAGUGACUGCUGGCCCUGCUGCUAUGAUACAUUUUCUGUUGAUGUAGUGAGUAUUAAGGAGGCCCAAAUAUGGUCAUGGGUUUCAGCCGUGGUUGAGAGCAGGUAGCUGGGCAAUACUUGCACCCUGCAUGUUCCUUGGGAAGUUUUGGACUAUCACAAACACUGACCCACCUUGGAUCUAGACACCUAAGGUUAGAAGGAGACAGAUGGAUUUUGCCAGAACUCUAUAAGAGGCAGCUGCCACUUGUUACAAUACGGUCAACUUUCCAUCCCAUAGUUACAUCCACGUCUGUUAGGAUCACUCUUGCUGUGCUCUUGCUAGAAGGAAACCAUCUUCUUUAACACCAUUUAGAUAAUUAGAGCAAAUCCACUGGAUAAGGAAAGCUCAGGUACAACAAUGAAACUAUGGAAAGAUUUUUUAAAAUCCACCCUAAAAAAAAAAGCCGCAUCAAGGUUCUGAAAUGUCAAGAAUGCCUAUCAUUUCCUGCUGUGGCGAAAGCCAGGAACCUUCCAGAACGCUGUGCUUUCUUAUUCCCGGGAGUGAAGGAUAGAGGAAGAGUUUGUUUGCCUGAUUUAACCCAUCUGAGAAAGAUUUUUCACGAGUGAUCCUUGAGCAAAAGGCUGAUUGGAAAACUUUCAGCCCAUCUAUGGGGAAAUAACUUCUUUAAUAAAGAGCUUUGAUUAAUCAAGCAUAUCUCAAUGGCAUUUCAGGGAAUUCGUUUUGACUGAAUCUUUCCCAAACCUGCAGUCUCCAAAGUGGGCAGCACCAACUUCCACACAACCAACAGUUGCAGUUUUCAAGGAUAAGGGAGCAGUUCCUGAACCUACUGGGCCCAGGAGAGGUGUCAGUAUGUGGGCAUUCAAUGAUGGUCUCACUGUUUGGAACUUGUCCUGCUGGCACCCAGAUGCUGAAGAUGAACUGAGAGGAUACCUCAGGCAUAAAGCACACCUUCAAACCAGUGGGAUCCAGGAAGGCUUCGUCUUCAACGCUUGCUUGUAGCUCACAUGCCAAAAUGGGAACAGGUAGAGUUACAGACAAUGAGAGAGACAGAGAGAAAGUCUUCCUUCUGUUGGCUCACCCUGCAAAUGGCCACAACAGCCAGAGCUGCGCCGAUAUGAAGCCAGGAGCCAGGAGCUUCUUCUGGGUCUCCUACACGGGUGCAGGAUCCCAAGUACUUGGGCCAUCUUCUACUGCUUUCCCAGGCUAUUGCAGAGAACUGGACUGGAAGAGGAACAACUGGGACUAGAACCGGCACCCAUAAGGGAUGCCGGCGCUGCAGGUUCGGGAUUAACCUAGUGUGCCACGGCACCGGCCCCUUAUAUAUAAUUUUAAAUGCAAUUUAUAUAAUUCUAUGUAAACAGAACAUUAUAUACUGCAUAAUAAAUAUAAUACAAUGAUACAAUAUAUCAUUUAUAUGUGUAUUAUCCAUGAAAACAAUUCAGGAAGAAGUCCCAUUAGCUAAAAAAGAAAAAAGAAAAGAAAAGAAAAUCAUUCACUCACUGUCAGCCCUCUCCAAGAAUUUCCUUUUACUUUUGAAUGUCAAGGUCAAACUUUGGCUUCAAAUGGCUAGCAUCUCCACCACAAUGUUGGCUAUUGGACUAAUUACAGUUAUUUUUCUUUUGCUAUCUCAGACUCAGAGACAAACCAUUAGCUUUUGUUUCCAACAUGCUGGUAAAAGUACAUCCAAACCCACAG